UACGGGGGGAGCAAGCGUUGUUCGGAUUUACUGGGCGUAAAGAGCGUGUAGGCGGUCCGGUAAGUCCGCUGUGAAAGUCGGGGGCUCAACCCUCGAAUGCCGGUGGAUACUGUCGGGCUAGAGUGCGGAAGAGGCGAGUGGAAUUCCUGGUGUAGCGGUGAAAUGCGCAGAUAUCAGGAGGAACACCUAUUGCGAAGGCAGCUCGCUGGGACGUAACUGACGCUGAGACGCGAAAGCGUGGGGAGCGAACAGG
rnacentral:rRNA from 1 species